AUAAAUUCAGAUACAGGCAAUCGCUCGGAAAUUACAGUCUUUACCCUAAGUCGGCUAUGGCAUACGAUGUAGUGAUGUACCAUACCUAUUAUGGAGCUUUUUUUCUCAAUUGUACAGUUAUGGCAGGCGAAUUAGAUUUUGUUUAUGUCCUUUUUGUCUUGCCCGAUGAAGCAGUUAUGGCUCUGUACACGACUCAGUUCUCGGUCUAACUUCCCUUUUGGUCUGUUUUGCUAAUACCCUAUUUACGUCAUAUUCACUCAUACACGAGAUUCUUGCCCAAUUUUCUUUUCCUGCGUUUUUAAUUGAAUCAUCAUAGUCAUAUUUUAAUUUUUGAUUCUGCCCAAAUGCUCAUUAUUUUAUUUUGUUUAUUAAUAUAUAUGAUUAGAAUACGGUGUUCUUUGUUGUCAUGAUAGUGAUGGGCUGGCUUGGUUUCUGACUGUAGCAAUUCUGGCUUUUCUGGAUUUCUCUUUGACACGUGGUCAUCGUCUUCUUCUUCUUCUUCCUCUGAGGUGUCUAAUGCUUUCUGGGUUUUGCUCAGAAUUCAGAAUUCAGAUAGAUUCCUGAUAAUCACACUUCAAUUUUCAAAAGUAGGAACAUUAUCACAUGAGUGCUUUUGAAUUCGGCAUCUUGGCCUGGUUUUGAUGCAUGCUUAUUUCACCCAAUUGAGGACUAAUUCUGGGAAAAAGAAAAUUGAUAACAUCUCAGGAUUGAACUGGUCAGUAAUAGGGAUAGGAAAUCUUGGAUUUUCCCAUGUUAGGAUGAUUUGAGUUCUGGUUUUGUGGAAGUAGUCUUCUCUGGUGAUUUCUCAAGCUUUCAUGGGCUUGGGAUUGUAAAUUCUGGGUUUUGGGAUUGAAUCCUAGAUGGACCGGUCUCCUUGUUGCAAGCAUUUCAGAUUACUUGGUUGCAACAUGAAUUCAGUAGCCUGCAAAUGUGUGGUUUUAGUUAUCAUUGCUCUGGUUAUUAGAGUUGUUCUGCUCCCUACAUACUCUAGCUUUUAUGGGACUGAGCAGAGCCAUUUGGUGUUGGUCAGCAACCUCUCCUUCUCAUCUUUGUCAGCCAGUACUAAUUUCGGAAUCCGAAAAGAUAAGUUUCUCGAGGUUCCUCAAAUUGUAUGGGGAUUAAAUAAUCAGAAAAUUGCAUUUGCAAGAGCUUGUCUAACCGCGAGGCUUAUGAACCGGACUCUGUUGAUGCCUAGCUUGAGUGCUUCCUUGUUCUACAAAGACGUUGAGCUCUUGAAGCCCAUUUCGUUUCAUAAGGUCUUCAAGUUUGACAAGUUCAAUUCGCUCUGCAAUGGCUAUGUUCAGUUGGGGAAAUACUCCGAUCUUAAAAACCAAACAGGCGCGUUUGAGCUUCAGAAAGGAAGUGGAAGGAGGUGGACACCCGAGAGAGAUUUGGAUCAGUUGAAGCAGCAUAGUAAGGAAGCAUAUGACGAACAUGAGACGAUUCGUAUAGUUGGGAAGAACCCAUUUUUGUGGCAUGAUCAUUGGCCUGUGAAGGACUAUGCAAAGGUGUUUGAGUGCUUGGUUUUGGUUGACGAGAUCAUGAGAGAAGCUGACAAAGUUGUGUCAAGGAUUAGAGAGAUAGGAGCAGAACAAGUGAGAAGCAAAAGCAAGUCUGCUGAGAACACUUUGUUGCUCAAGUCAGUGCCUUAUGUAGCUGUUCAUAUGAGGAUAGAGUUAGAUUGGAUGAUACACUGUAAGAAUCUUGAGCGUAGACUGAACAUAACCGAAAUUUGUAGCAGCAAAGAGGAGAUCAUGGAGAGAGUUGGCAACAUUGUUGGCCUUAAGACUCCAGCUGUUGUAUAUUUAGCUGUGGCUGAUAGUCUUCUUCAAGAUCCAUCAAUUUUGAACGGAUGGAAAGAAGGGUUGGUUCCUUUUGAGAAGAAGAAACUGGGUUUUGAUGCACGUUACAAGAAGUUCCCCUAUCUCAUUCAGUCUGCGAUUGACUAUGAAGUGUGCUUGAGAGCCGAUGUGUUUGUUGGAAACAGUUUCUCUACAUUUUCUAGCCUCAUUGCUCUUGAGAGAACCCAGAAGCUGAUUAAAAUGGGUGUCAAUAGCUCAUGUGGUGAAGAUGUGAGGUGGCCUGCUUAUGCGUACAACAUAUUAGGGGGAUCAAAAGGGCCUCAAAAAUGGAUGACAAACAUGUCUGGCUCAAGUCUUAAAGAAAUUAGCUAUGGCUCUAACCAAAUUUCAUGUUGAUGGUUUUGAGGCUCAACCAGUUUCUGUAUUCUAAAUGAUCCCACUCCUCCGGCGCAGAUUUGUUGUGCAACUGUUUUUCUUUCCUUGGAUAUGGUACAGAUGACCAAAAUGAGGAUAUGGUACAGCAAUGGAAAAGGUGUGCACAUUCCUCAGUCUGUUACUUCUAAGUUCUAACACAAUCAAGGAAUGAACAAGUUUGGUACCUCAUCUUGAUUCUUGUGGUGGGUCAUAUUAUAGAUCUGAGUAUUUGCUCGAUUGAUUGAGCAUCUGGGCCAUUCUGUUUCCUUGUUUGUUGCUUGGGGAAAGGGUAAAUGUGAAGUACUAGUAGGACAUGUUUAAGGAGCCUUAACUAGUACUCGACAGCUUUAAUUUUGUCAUCAUGAUCUGUUUAAGGAGCCAAUGAAUUCCCAUUUUUGGUGUGUACUAUUGCUUUAUAGGUCCACUUCGAAAUAUUUCAAAGGAACUGAACCGAAGCUGGUAAUUAACCUUGUAUUAUGGCACUACCCAACUAUACGACCACUGGUGCAAUUUACACUUCUUUAUCAAAUCUUUGGGGCCUUUUUCAGUUCGGUUUAGUUACGAAGGUUGUUUUUGGAAAUUGGAUUCGAAGAGGUAACCGACUUAAUGAAAACCUGUCAUUUAAUACCAGUUAAAACAACUUACAAGUUAGGAUCAUGGAUUCAUGAAUA